rnacentral:rRNA from 1 species
GAUGAACGCUGACAGAAUGCUUAACACAUGCAAGUCGAUGGGGAAGUGGUGCUUGCACCAUGGCAACCAUGGCGGACGGGUGAGUAACGCGUAAGGGACUUACCUGCAGGACUGGGAUAACAGGGGGAAACUCCUGACAAGACCGGAUAAUGUCAUGGAGCUGCAUGGCUUUAUGAUGAAAGGAGACGCCUGCGGAGAGCCUUGCGUCCUAUUAGCUAUUUGGUGAGGUAAUGGCUCACCAAGGCGAAGAUAGGUAGCCGGCCUGAGAGGGUGGACGGCCAAAAGGGGACUGAGAUACGGCACUUACGCCUACGGGAGGAAGCAGUGGGGAAUAUUGGACAAUGGGGGCAACCCUGAUCAAGCAAUUCUGUGUGCACGAAGAAGGUUUUCGGAUUGUAAAGUGCUUUCAGAAGGGAAGAAGUAAGUGACGGUACCUGCAGAAGAAGCGACGGCUAAAUACGUG